GAUGAUAUAAAGAAGCAUGGCCGGCUCGGGAUGUUGAUAUUUUUUCAACGGCCUAUUUCCUGAAAUUUUGAAUGGAAAGUGUCAGAAAUGGUGUCAGGUUACUGUGCAAGAGUGGUAUGAUUGACCUCAACACAAGUAUUAAGGCAAAAGGGAAUCAACUUUAUUUGAGGCCAGAUACAUGGAACGGUUCCACCAGUUAUUUGUUAUCCCACCCCGGCACACAACAGAAUGAAGGCGGCACUUUGAGCAGUCGCCAUCGUAACACAUGAUAGUGGAC